ACGUCCUACGGGAGGCAGCAGGUGGGAAUAUUGGACAAUGGGGGGAACCCUGAUCCAGCCAUGCCGCGUGUGUGAAGAAGGCCUUAUGGUUGUAAAGCACUUUAAGCGAGGAGGAGGCUACUGAGACUAAUACUCUUGGUAUAGUGGACGUUACUCGCAGAAUAAGCACCGGCUAACUCUGUGCCAGCAGCCGCGGUAAUACAGAGGGUGCGAGCGUUAAUCGGAUUUACUGGGCGUAAAGCGUGCGUAGGCGGCCAUUUAAGUCAAAUGUGAAAU
rnacentral:rRNA from 1 species